ensembl:lncRNA
GCCGUUUCAGAGUUUAUAAUGGGUGUGUAUGGGACGGAAUGUUGGGGCUAGAGUGAGACAGCUCAACUGCUAGAGUGAGAGGAGCAAAAAAAUUAAUCUUAAAAUCUUUUUUUAAAACUGCUGCUGUGUCCGCAGCGUUUGCUCUACAGGUAUGAUUUUACCCUCAAAACGUAGCCAUGGCUGUCCUCUUUCAUCCAAUGUGUUUACUAUUGUACUAGGUGUUAUGGUUCUUUCAUAAAUGUCACCAAUGCACAGCCUCCUCCCUCCAACUCUUCCAUAGACUCUAAUGUUAAAAUGGCUCAGAAGGUUCGUUUGAAAAUCAGAAGAGCAUGGUGUCUUUCCACUGUCACCACGUCCAUAUAAUAAACUCCACAGGCAUGAAAACUGAGAAUUAGGUAGACUAGACAUUGCUGUCGCUCACGGUGAAAGAAUUUUGUCAAUACGACUUUUACUUUUCAUUUGGGAGCGAUUUGUUUCGGCCUGACUUUUCUGUUCAUUUUAAGCAGCAAAAGUGAGGCGCAUGUCUGUGUACGUGUGUAUGGAGCCAUUGGGUGCGGUCACUAUAGCAACCAGGCUCACACCUGCCUGCUUAACGAGCUCUGCCUGCCACUGUACCAAGAUUCAUCUUAAGCACUUCUCUUUCAACUGCUGCUGUGUCCACAGUGUUACAGCCAUCAUUUUACCCUCAAAUUGUCGCCAUUAUUGUUCUCUUUCCAACACCGUAUCUUUCAAAGCUCAGGCAUUUAAACUUUUUAAACUGUGUGGAUCAAAGUGGAGGGAUCACAUUUGAGUCAUUCAGUGAUUCAAAGAAUAUGACCUUUUAAUAUUCAUUCAGAUGUUUUCUGACUCUAAAUGUUCUUUUCUCAUUUCUUAGGGUUUUCUAAUUUACAUUUAAAACAUUUUCAGUUUUUUUCCAACUCCUUCUUCUGUGUAACCUUCAGCUUUUAGCAGUUCAGCACCUUUGUUUUCAGGUUAAAUUCGUUUUUUUUUUUUGUUUUUUUUAAUCUCAUUCAAUAUUUUUAACUCAAAAUUCAGCAAUUAAUUCAUUUCAGUGCAUACAUUCAGAUUCAAGCAUUCACACUGCAGUUUCUUCAGAAAAUGCACUUUCUAGUUAAUAGUGAUGUUUAGCAGGUCCAUUUCAACGGACCCACUUAAUCUAAUUUUGUUUCCACUCCACGAUUUGUAAAUUACGGCAAAACGACGCGCCAUUUACCACUGUCUCUGUCUGCGACAAUGGCAAUUUUUCUUCCUGUGUAAUUCUCUCUUUUUGUGGCUCUCUUAGCAGAGGAUUUUAAAAAAAGAAACACUCAUCUCUUCUUUUCUCCUCUUCCCCCCUGCCAUUCUUUCUCCUCCUUUC